rnacentral:rRNA from 1 species
GAUGAACGCUGGCGGCGUGCCUAAUACAUGCAAGUCGAACGCUGGAGAUCUAGCUUGCUAGAUCGAAGGAGUGGCGAACGGGUGAGUAAUACAUAAGCAACCUACCCACGAAGACUGGGAUAAUCUCUGGAAACGGGGACUAAUACCGGAUAGGUAAUCGGAAGGCAUCUUCUGGUUAUUAAAGGUUAAAAACACUGGUGGAUGGGCUUAUGGCGCAUUAGUUAGUUGGUGAGGUAACGGCCCACCAAGACGAUGAUGCGUAGCCGGCCUGAGAGGGUGAACGGCCACAUUGGGACUGAGACACGGCCCAGACUCCUACGGGAGGCAGCAGUAGGGAAUUUUCGGCAAUGGGGGCAACCCUGACCGAGCAACGCCGCGUGAGUGAAGACGGCCUUCGGGUUGUAAAGCUCUGUUGUAAGGGAAGAACGGUAGAUAGAGAAUAUCUAAGUGACGGUACCUUACCAGAAAGCCACGGCUAACUACGUGCCAGCAGCCGCGGUAAUACGUAGGUGGCGAGCGUUAUCCGGAAUUAUUGGGCGUAAAGGGUGCGUAGGCGGCCUGUUAAGUAAGUGGUUAAAUUGUUGGGCUCAACCCAAUCCAGCCACUUAAACUGGCAGGCUAGAGUAUUGGAGAGGCAAGUGGAAUUCCAUGUGUAGCGGUAAAAUGCGUAGAUAUAUGGAGGAACACCAGUGGCGAAGCGGCUUUGCUAGCCAAAGACUGACGCUCAUGCACGAAAGCGUGGGGGAGCAAAUAGG